rnacentral:rRNA from 1 species
UUGACGGGGGCCCGCACAAGCGGUGGAUUAUGUGGAUUAAUUCGAUGCAACGCGAAAACCUUACCUACCCUUGACAUGCUAGGAACUUGCCAGAGAUGGCUUGGUGCCCGAAAGGGAACCUAGACACAGGUGCUGCAUGGCUGUCGUCAGCUCGUGUCGUGAGAUGUUGGGUUAAGUCCCGCAACGAGCGCAACCCUUGUCAUUAAUUGCCAUCAUUCAGUUGGGCACUUUAAUGAGACUGCCGGUGACAAACCGGAGGAAGGUGGGGAUGACGUCAAGUCCUCAUGGCCCUUAUGGGUAGGGCUUCACACGUAAUACAAUGGUCGGUACAGAGGGUUGCCAACCCGCGAGGGGGAGCCAAUCCCAGAAAACCGAUCGUAGUCCGGAUUGCAGUCUGCAACUCGACUGCAUGAAGUCGGAAUCGCUAGUAAUCGCGGAUCAGCAUGUCGCGGUGAAUACGUUCCCGGGCCUU